CGGGAUGGCGGAGGAAGCGCUUCUGAAGAAGACUCCAAGGUCAUUUGAAACACAGCCCUAGAGCGCGCUGGGCUCUGCUUGAAGGGCUGCUUUGAAAGGAGAAAGAGAGGUGUCAUUCCAGAGAGCAGAAUCAAAGGUAGAGGACCCAGCGACUUGAACCCGGGCUCUGCAGAGAACACAGCAUCUUCGGUCUGUGUAAAGGCUCCCGGGCAAGGGGUAAGCGCAGGCAACACAGGCCACGGAGGAUGUGCUGAGCUCAAAGGAUAACACUCAGAGCUCUCCAGACACCUUGUGGGGCGCAGGGAUCAAGUCAAGUCCCCAGGCAUAUACAAAAGCGCCCCUUCUCUGCCUGCUCAGCCAGCCCUGCUACCCUCCAUGUUCCUCUCAAGGCACAGCGGAGCUGGCCUUUCCCUAUUUCUGUAUCUGCAAGUGAUGGUUUCACUGGCUGCCAACAGGCUGGCUUCAAACUCACCGUGUUCCUGAGAACGACCUUGAACUUCUGACCUGUGUGUGCCAUCUGCCGAGUUUGCAAGGCACUGCACUGGGGACCUGUGGCUGACUGAGCCACGCCCCUCAGCUGAGCUGAGCUUUUCUUGCCUGUGACCUCGGGAUUCUGAUUGCUAAAUUGGUUACUUUCAUACAUUUGUUUCACACCCCCCAAAAUUUUGAUGUAGACCUCUAACCCCUCCCUAAACUGUAAACCAAUUUUAUCUAUGCCCAUUAAAAGAAUGGAAUAAUAAAUUUUGAGGAUAUUGUAACCGA